AGAAGGGAUGAGAACACUCUCUUCCUCCUGGCAGCGUCCCACAGCUGCAGCAGAGAAACCUUCCCCAGAAGCCUGACAGACACCAGGGGAUGAGCCCUCCUGACCUGACAGAACACACGUGAUGGAAACACAACAUUCAAGCCCUUGACAACUAGCAAGGAGAACACAUACAGAAAGCAUCUUGAAGCUCCCCUGAACACAAUCCCCUGCUGCAGCCGAGCAGUCUCUCCCGAGAAAAAGAACAACUUUUUGGUCAUCUACCGAAGGCAGUAAUUCUGUUCUUCGGACUCCCAGGAUUUCUGCUAUCUGAUGGAAUAUUUAAGCGGAGACUUCAUUCCCCCGGUGGAGUGCCGACGGCUCAGCCACUCCACUCCGGUGUUCAAUGAGCUCUUGUGUUCUAUUACAGAAUAAAUGCGAUUUUCUGCCCAGCUGGAAAA